rnacentral:rRNA from 1 species
GACGAACGCUGGCGGCGUGCUUAACACAUGCAAGUCGAACGGAAAGGCCCUGCUUUUGUGGGGUGCUCGAGUGGCGAACGGGUGAGUAACACGUGAGUAACCUGCCCUUGACUUUGGGAUAACUUCAGGAAACUGGGGCUAAUACCGGAUAGGAGCUCCUGCUGCAUGGUGGGGGUUGGAAAGUUUCGGCGGUUGGGGAUGGACUCGCGGCUUAUCAGCUUGUUGGUGGGGUAGUGGCUUACCAAGGCUUUGACGGGUAGCCGGCCUGAGGGGGUGACCGGCCACAUUGGGACUGAGAGACGGCCCAGACUCCUACGGGAGGCAGCAGUGGGGAAUAUUGCACAAUGGGCGGAAGCCUGAUGCAGCAACGCCGCGUGCGGGAUGACGGCCUUCGGGGUGUAAACCGCUUUCGCCUGUGACGAAGCGUGAGUGAAGGUAAUGGGUAAAGAAGCACCGGCUAACUACGUG